AUUGCUUCUUGGCCUUUUGGCUAAUAUCAGGUUAUGGAUCUGUCCCUAUGAAUUAAAUACCUACUGUGUCCUCUAUCCAAGGAAAAUAUAGUAAAUGAAUUUUUGGAGGAAAGUCUUGUUAUGAAAGCUUUCCCAGAUUUCUCUGUGCAAUGAUCCAGUAUUUAAGUAUUUCCAAGAACAGUAG